AUGGCGGCCGGGCGAGCGUGUGCUCUUAGCGCGGUGCUUGUGGUGGUGGUGGCGCCGCUCCUCCUGGCCGGCGUGGCGGACGCCGACUGCUUCGACUACUGCUUCAAGGACUGCAUCGCCAAGGACAAGAACAUGAUCGACUACUGCAACUACGCCUGCGACAAGACCUGCUACACGGGCGCGCCCCAGCGGCCCUUGGCGGCGGCUGCCGCCCCCGGCGACAUGGGAUGCCAGCUCUCCUGCGCCAGGACUUCCUGCCACCGUCUUGAUCCAGACCGCGAGGCCGCUGAGGCCUGCUUCGGGCAGUGCUAUGACGGCUGCAAGACCAAGACUCUGCCGAGGCCUCUCCGCGCCGGCGCCGGGAUGCCCACCACGUUAGGCCCGGUGGUCGCCGACCUUCCUUCAUCCGAGCCGGACCCGGAUGAUGCGGUCCGUGCGUCGUCAGAGGCGCCCGAACAUCAGGCGAUGGGGCCACGUACACCGUUUUCGGAGAUCCACGCUGCUCCUCCGGCGUCUGCGUAA
rnacentral:rRNA from 1 species